GGAGGGAUCAUUACAGAGUUGCAAAACUCCCAAACCAUUUGUUUAUCUACCUGUUUCGUUGCUUCGGCAGGCGGCUCUUCGGGGCCUUUGCUACCUGUAGUGCCUGCCGGAGUAUCCAAAACUCUUGUUAUUUUUGUUCUGUCUGAGUAAACUUUUAAUAGUUAAAACUUUCAACAACGGAUCUCUUGGUUCUGGCAUCGAUGAAGAACGCAGCGAAAUGCGAUAAGUAAUGUGAAUUGCAGAAUUCAGUGAAUCAUCGAAUCUUUGAACGCACAUUGCGCCCAUUAGUAUUCUAGUGGGCAUGCCUGUUCGAGCGUCAUUUCAACCCUCAAGCUCUCUUGCUUGGUGUUGGGGCUUCUGCGGCUUCGGCCGCAGGCCCUGAAAAACAGUGGCGGGCUCGCUAUAACUCCGAGCGUAGUAAUCUCUCUCGCUUUGGAAGUGUGGCGGUUCCCGGCCGUUAAACCCCCCAAUUUCUGAAAUGUUGACCUCGGAUCAGGUAGGAAU
rnacentral:rRNA from 1 species